ACAUUCGAUAUAUCCGACCGUCGGAUACCAUUGCUAGAUGAUCACUUCGAUUGGUAUAAAAAUUUAUUUUUGUGCUACCGACUUAGGUUCGAACCUAUGAGAUCACACACAAUAGAGUUCACGAUCCGAUCAGAUGGUUGAUCAAUGAUUAAGAAUCGUUUUAGGGUUAAACGAUCAAUACGAUUGACAUUUAACCUAGUGCAAGUAUUGCAGGAGGAUCGAUUAGCAAUUUGAUUGCUAAUUGAUUUAAUUUGAUUAAGCCAAUGGGCUGAGAUUAAGUUUAAUUGAAUAUGAUUUAAUUAGAUUUAGUUUGGGC
rnacentral:lncRNA from 1 species